rnacentral:rRNA from 1 species
CCUACGGGCGGCAGCAGUAAGGAAUAUUGGUCAAUGGAGGCAACUCUGAACCAGCCAUGCCGCGUGCAGGAAGACGGCCCUCCGGGUUGUAAACUGCUUUUAUUCGGGAAUAAACCUGUCUACGUGUAGCCAGCUGAAUGUACCGAAGGAAUAAGGAUCGGCUAACUCCGUGCCAGCAGCCGCGGUAAUACGGAGGAUCCAAGCGUUAUCCGGAUUUAUUGGGUUUAAAGGGUGCGUAGGCGGCCUGUUAAGUCAGGGGUGAAAGACGGUAGCUC